rnacentral:rRNA from 1 species
CUGCAUGGCUGUCGUCAGCUCGUGUCGUGAGAUGUUGGGUUAAGUCCCGCAACGAGCGCAACCCUUGCCAUUAGUUGCUACAUUCAGUUGGGCACUCUAAUGGGACUGCCGGUGACAAACCGGAGGAAGGUGGGGAUGACGUCAAGUCCUCAUGGCCCUUAUAGGUGGGGCUACACACGUCAUACAAUGGCUGGUACAGAGGGUUGCCAACCCGCGAGGGGGAGCUAAUCCCAUAAAGCCAGUCGCAGUCCGGAUCGCAGUCUGCAACUCGACUGCGUGAAGUCGGAAUCGCUAGUAAUCGCGGAUCAGAAUGUCGCGGUAAAUACGUUCCCGGGUCUUGUACACACCGCCCGUCACACCAUGGGAGCGGGUCUCGCCAGAAGUAGGUAGCCUAACCGCAAGG